AGAGUUUGAUCCUGGCUCAGGAUGAACGCUGGCGGCGUGCUUAACACAUGCAAGUCGAACGAAGAUAUUAAGAAUGAGAGCUUCGGCAGGAAUUUUUCUUAUCUUAGUGGCGGACGGGUGAGUAACGUGUGGGCAACCUGCCCUGCACUGGGGAAUAAUCAUUGGAAACGAUGACUAAUACCGCAUACGGUUCCUGGGAGGCAUCUUCUGGGAAAGAAAGGAUUUAUUUGGUGCAAGAUGGGCCCGCAUCUGAUUAGCUAGUGGGGGAGAUAACACCCCACCAGGGAGACGAUCAGUACCCGACCUGAGAGGGUGACCGGCCACAUUGGGACUGAGACACGGCCCACACUCCUACGGGAGGCAGCAGUGGGGAAUAUUGCACUGUGGGCGAAAGCCUGAUGCAGCCACCCCGCGUGAAGGAAGAGGGGUUUCGGCUCGUAAACUUCUAUCCACGGGGACGAAAGAAAUGACGGUACCUGAAUAAGAAGCCCCGGCUAACUACGUGCCAGCAGCCGCGGUAAUACAUAGGGGGCCAAGCGUUCAUCCGGAAUUUCUGGGUGUAAAGGGUGAGUAGGCGGCAUGGUAAGCCAGAUGUGAAAGCCUUGGGCUUAACCCGAGGAUUGCAUUUGGAACUAUCAAGGUAGAGUACAGGAGAGGAAAGAGUAAUUCCUAGUGUAGCGGAGAAAUGAGUAGAUAUUAGGAAGAACACCAGUGGAGAAGGUGGCUUUCUGGACUGAAACUGACGAUGAGGCACAGAAAGCGUGGGGAGCGAACAGGAUUAGAUUCCCUGGUAGUUCACGCCGUAAACGAUGAGAGAUAGGUGUCGGGGAGGAAUCCCCGGUGCCGCAGCUAAUGCAAUAAGCACUCCUCCUGGGGAGUGCGACCGCUAGGUUGAAACUCAAUGGAAUUGACGGGGGCCCGCACAAGCGGUGGAGCAUGUGGUUUAAUUAGAAGCAACGAGAAGAACCUUCCCAAGGCUUGACAUCCAGAUGACAGGCGUAGAGAUACGUUUUCCCUUCUGGUCAUUGGUGACAGGUGGUGCAUGGUCGUGGUCAGCUUGUGUUGUGAGAUGUUGGGUUAAGUCCCGCUACGAGCGCAACCCUUACCCUUAGUAGCCAUCAUUAAGUUGGGCCCUUUAGGGGGACUGCCGUGGAUAACACGGAGGAAGGUGGGGAUGACGUCAAAUCAUCAUGCCCCUUAUGUUUUGGGCUACACACGUGCUACAAUGGCUGGCAACAAAGUGAAGCGAGACGGGGACGUUAAGCAAAUCACAAAAACCCAGUCCCAGUUCGGAUUGCAGUCUGCAACUCGCCUGCAUGAAGCUGGAAUCGCUAGUAAUCGCGAAUCAGAAUGUCGCGGUGAAUACGUUCCCGGGUCUUGCACACACCGCCCGUCA
rnacentral:rRNA from 1 species